rnacentral:rRNA from 1 species
GAUGAACGCUGGCGGCGUGCCUAAUACAUGCAAGUCGAGCGAACAGACGAGGAGCUUGCUCCUCUGACGUUAGCGGCGGACGGGUGAGUAACACGUGGAUAACCUACCUAUAAGACUGGGUUAACUUCGGGAAACCGGAGCUAAUACCGGAUAAUAUAUUGAACCGCAUGGUUCAAUAGUGAAAGACGGUUUUGCUGUCACUUAUAGAUGGAUCCGCGCCGCAUUAGCUAGUUGGUAAGGUAACGGCUUACCAAGGCAACGAUGCGUAGCCGACCUGAGAGGGUGAUCGGCCACACUGGAACUGAGACACGGUCCAGAAUCCUACGGGAGGCAGCAGUAGAGAAUCUUCCGCAAUGGGCGAAAGCCUGACGGAGCAACGCCGCGUGAGUGAUGAAGGUCUUCGGAUCGUAAAACUCUGUUAUUAGGGAAGAACAAAUGUGUAAGUAACUAUGCACGUCUUGACGGUACCUAAUCAGAAAGCCACGGCUAACUACGUG